rnacentral:rRNA from 1 species
ACACAUGCAAGUCGAGGGGUAACAGGAAAGCUUGCUUUCGCUGACGACCGGCGCACGGGUGCGUAACGCGUAUGCAACCUACCUCAUACUGGAGGAUAGCCCCUGGAAACGGGGAUUAAUACUCCAUAGUAUCACGAAUUCGCAUGCUUUUGUGAUUAAAGUUUUUCGGUAUGAGAUGGGCAUGCGUCCCAUUAGCUUGUUGGUGAGGUAACGGCUCACCAAGGCAACGAUGGGUAGGGGGCCUGAGAGGGUGGUCCCCCACACUGGUACUGAGACACGGACCAGACUCCUACGGGAGGCAGCAGUGAGGAAUAUUGGUCAAUGGAGGCAACUCUGAACCAGCCAUGCCGCGUGAAGGAUGACGGCCCUAUGGGUUGUAAACUUCUUUUAUAGAGGAAGAAACUUGUCUACGUGUAGACAACUGACGGUACUCUACGAAUAAGGAUCGGCUAACUCCGUGCCAGCAGCCGCGGUAAUACGGAGGAUCCAAGCGUUAUCCGGAUUCAUUGGGUUUAAAGGGUCCGUAGGCGGGUCUUUAAGUCAGUGGUGAAAGCCGACAGCUCAACUGUCGAACUGCCAUUGAUACUGGAGACCUUGAGUACAAAUGAAGUAGGCGGAAUGAGUCAUGUAGCGGUGAAAUGCAUAGAUAUGACUCAGAACACCGAUUGCGAAGGCAGCUUACUAACAUGUAACUGACGCUGAGGGACGAAAGCGUGGGGAGCGAACAGGAUUAGAUACCCUGGUAGUCCACGCCGUAAACGAUCAUCACUCGCUGUUGGCGAUAUACUGUCAGCGGCCAAGCGAAAGUAUUAAGUGAUGCACCUGGGGAGUACGCCGGCAACGG